GACGAACGCUGGCGGCGUGCUUAACACAUGCAAGUCGAACGGAAAGACCCUGCUUUUGUGGGGUGCUCGAGUGGCGAACGGGUGAGUAACACGUGAGUAACCUGCCCUUGACUUUGGGAUAACUUCAGGAAACUGGGGCUAAUACCGGAUAGGAGCUCCUGCUGCAUGGUGGGGGUUGGAAAGUUUCGGCGGUUGGGGAUGGACUCGCGGCUUAUCAGCUUGUUGGUGGGGUAGUGGCUUACCAAGGCUUUGACGGGUAGCCGGCCUGAGAGGGUGACCGGCCACAUUGGGACCGAGAUACGGCCCAGACUCCUACGGGAGGCAGCAGUGGGGAAUAUUGCACAAUGGGCGGAAGCCUGAUGCAGCAACGCCGCGUGCGGGAUGACGGCCUUCGGGUUGUAAACCGCUUUCGCCUGUGACGAAGCGUGAGUGACGGUAAUGGGUAAAGAAGCACCGGCUAACUACGUG
rnacentral:rRNA from 1 species